UAUAUGGACCUUUGUUGUCAAAGUGAUGUCUUUACUUUUUAAUACACUGUCUAGGUAUGGAUAAAUCUAUAGGUAAAUGGGGAUAUCUUUGAACAUAAGUAGUGUUACAGUAGAGAAUGUAGAAGUCAUUAGUUGGAACUCCUUUAACUUCCAGCCACUAAACUUCCAAAUCUAAGUGAUCUAAAUCCCUUCCAUUGGAUCAAAAUUCAGAUGUCCCUUUUCUAACCCACUUACUCAUUCUGUAGAUCUGUUUCAUCUUCUAUGAAGUGUCAUAUUAUCGGUUGUCCUUUCUUUCCUUUAUCUUCAACUUCUCUGUUGGAUUCCUUUUAUUAGCAUUUAAACAUUUUCUGUUCUCCAUCUUAACAACAAUAAGCAUUUAGAAAAAGUCUCCAUUAAAAAACACAUUUUCAGUUAUAAAAGAUGAGUUGGCCUUAGAGAUCUACUGUUCAGCACAGUGCCUAUAGUUAACAGUGCUGUACCAUAUACUUUAAAAUUUGCUAAGAGGAUAAAAUUUAUGUAAAUUGUUCUUAUCACAAAAAUAAUAAGGCAGAAGGAAACUUUUGGAAGUGAUGGAUAAGUUUAUGGCAUAGAUUGUGUUGUGGUUUCAUAGGUAUAUACUUAUCUCCAAACUCAUUAAGUUGUAUACAUUAAUUAUGUACAGCUUUUGAUGUGUUGGAAAAAAAAAAAAAAAAACACCUCUUGAUUUCAUUUUCCCUUUGGCAAAAACUUGGUAAGAUAGUACAGGAAAAAUAUAGACAUCUUACAUAUGAAUAUAGUUGUGUCUUAAAUGUAUCCCAUUUCUACUUUAACGACAAAGCUAUAAAAAAUACUUGAGAAUACAUUUAACAAAAGUGCAAGAAUCAAAGGAAAAUUUUACCAAUGUUUAUAGAACGGAAUCUAAAAUUUCAGGAUUAUAGGACGAUGUCAUUAAAAUGCAAUCUUACUAAAAUUUAUGUAGAUUUAUUGGAAUUCCUUUUUUAUCUUUUAAGGGAAGCUGGUUAAAAUAACUGAACGUUUAUAUGGAAAAUCAAGUGUCCAAGAAUAGCUUUUAAAACUCUGUGUGUGUGUGUGUGUAUAAAACAUGGGAAGGUAAAACUUGCCUUACCAGGUACUAGCUUACUUUGAAACUGCUGAAUCAAAAUGAUAUGACUUAAAAAAAAACAAAGUCAAAAUAAUAUUAUUGUGGUCCUAGGAAUAGACAACUAGAUGAUUGAAUUGAUCAUAAUAGUACAGAAGUAGGCCUGACUCUUUUUUCUUUUUCCUAUUCAAGGGAAAGUAUAAUUAAACAAAUGGUGCUGGCAUUACUGGCUAUCCAUUCAGAAGGAAAUAAAAAUUGGGCCUGUAUUAUACUCUGUAAAAAAAUUCCACAUAGGUUAAAGAAAGGUGAUACAAAGGCAUCAGAAGAAAAGUUAGAAUAGUUGUGUAACUUCAGGGUAAAAGAGAGCUUCCUAAAAAAAAGCAGGAAACCCAGAAAUCAAAAAAGAGAAGAGGUGUAUACUUGAUCAAAUUAAAUUUAAACAAUUUAAAUAAACAAGCAAUUUAAAUAGAUAAGUAUGAAAUCUAAAAUCCUUGUAUAGUAAAAACAAUAAACCAAAUAAAAAAGCAAAAGCAGAACACGUAUUUUUCAGCUUUCAUUUUGGAUUGCUACAGUUUGCACUCCCCAUCCCCACCAACCCAGGCUACUCCCACUUAAAAUUGUUGGAUUGUUUGCUUUAGGCAGGCUUAUUAUUGGGGGAGAAAAACCAGGCUCUUACUGUGAGGGGCAGAGUGGGACACCCUGGUGUUUAUGCCCAGUUGUAUGCAGAGUCUCAGUGGCAAGGGAAGGAGUAUCUUACCUCCCCCUACAAUUGCAAGGGGCAGCUGAUGUUCUGAUGAGUCUAACAGUUUGGGCUGGGCCUGGGAACCUGGGGGUAAAGCCACUCAAAGGUCCUCAGGGGUGAGCAUCACAACUACCAGUCAUAGAUCUAAGUUUGGGCAAGUAACUCCCCUUCAAAAUUAAAAAAAGAAACCUCAUGGGGAAAUGCUCUCAGAGAAAGAAUGGAGGUUUCCAUGGUAAGAAACUGGGAAGUUGGGACUAUUCUAAAUAAUUUCAUGUGAUGUGGUGUUUGGGAGAGGACCUUGGAGGCUGGACUGACACUUGUAAGCCCCUAACAAGGGCCUUUCCAGACCCUUCAGGCUUCUAUGGACCAACCCAACUGCUUCAGAUGGUGCUGAAGCAGAGCUCAUUUACUUUAUUCUCUUUCCUAGGGUACCAACACAUGACCUGCCUCUCAAUAAUACCUCUGAUAAUGGGAUUCCCAGGUGGCACAGUGGUGAAGAAUCCACCUGCCAAUGCUGGAGACUCGGGUUAGAUCCCUGGGUCAGGAAGAUUCCCUGAAGGAGGAAAUGGCUACCUGCUCCAGAAUUCUUGCUCUGAUGGGCAACAGCACAAGAGGCUGCUCCAGGCCCAGGCAGAGUGAAUGUGUCCUUAAACACCAAGCAUCACUGAGACAUGCAGGCAGGCGGGCUCAGGGGCUUUCACUGCGUUUGGUGAGGAGGCAGAAGGGGGUGUGUUGAUAGCUUGGCCUAAGCUUGCCUCAGUCUAGUGCGCUGAACAAAGUCCUUUCCUCUGCAAGCUGAUUAAAGAUGGGAUCAAGGAGAUCUGCAAGCUGGGAAGACAGCCUUACCUUGGUUUAGGAGCAAACCUGCUGAAACUUUAAAAAGUACAAUAGAAAUUCGCAUAAAAUUUCCAGAAAUAGUUUCUCUUUGAAGUCUCUACCCUCCACAUACUCAAGCAAAACCAAACAUCCUAUAUAUAAAUAAAAGUGUAGUAAAAGAGUAAGAGAGUUGAUUUAAAGUCGAGCCUGUUUCAAAAAGGAGGAUGUGUAUCAAACACUGAAGAGAAAUCAAGUGAGGUGAUGUCUGAAUGUCCAUUGGAUCUCAGAAGGUAGAAAUCAGUUUUGGUAGUAAUAGGGUGACCAUUUCAGAAGUCAGGAAAGAGACAGGAAGAGUACGCCUAUGGUCUUCAACCAUUUUUGCUAAAAUGAUGUUCACAAUCCAUGUACCUCCAUUUUGCUGGUGGUGGUAGCUUAGUCACUAAGUCAUGUCCAACUCUUGGUGACCCCAUGGACUGUAGCCUGCCAGGCUCCUCUAUCCAUAGGAUUUCCCAGGCAAGAAAACUGGAGUGGGUUGCCGUUUCCUUCUCUAGGGGAUCUACUUGACCCAGGGAUCGAACCCACAUUGCUUGUAUAGCUGGUGGAUUCUUUACCACUGAGUCACCAGAGACUUCCAUACCUCCGUUUUUAGAGACAUAUAAAAGUUUCAUUAUAACUCUAAGUAGCUGCCAAGAAUAAAAUUUUAUUAGAAAUGUUGACAUUUUAAAAUAAAGCAUCUUUCUCUUAAAUGUAUUCAAUGGAAUAUAAUUAUUUUAGUAAUUAGAAACCUACAGUCAUCCAUUUAAAAAUAUACCAACUAUCCUCUCCAAUCAUACAGGGAAGCAUUAUUUUUCCCAUAUACUGACACUUGAUAUUAUGAAUUCUCAAAAAUUUUGCUGAUCUGAUAGGUGAAAAAAUAGUAGCUUAUUGUUUUAAUAUGCAUUUGUCUGAUAAAUAAUGAAGCUACAUACCGUUUCAAAUAUGUUCCCAGCUAUUUUUGUUUCUUCCGUGAAAUAUCUAUUCAAAUUUUGCCCAAUUUUCUAUUACGGUGUCUUUUGCCUAUCAAUUUGUAGGAAUUCGUUGUAUAUUAGGAAUGUAAGCCCUUGUGCUAUCAUGUGGGUAGCAAAUGUUUUCUCUUAGUGAUUUGUUUGAAUAUUUCGUUUGUGAAGACAACAUUUUGAUUGGAAGUUCUCUAACUUCAAUUUUUCCCUAGAUUUUAAGUUGGUGGUGGAGGGUGGACUAUGGUGAUCUUCACUUCUGAACUCAGAAGGUCAGACUGAGAUGGAAGCUCCUUUCAAACACUUGCCGGAGGCAGCGGGCCUUUGAGGAGACAGCAAAAUAACCCUUUAUAUACAUCCAAAUCUGAAGAUGCAGAAGCUGAACUCUGAGAAGUAAAGGUUCUAGUCUGAUCCCUGUUUUCCCGAGGUGAUGAAAUUUGAGGUGAUUUUGUUAUGGAAGGACUAAUCUUGAAUAAGGAAGUGAUGCCACAAAAAUGCUACAAAAUUUAUAAAGUUAAUUAAUAUAAUAAAUAUGCAACAUAAAAAUCCAUCAAGUAAAUAUAAAUAAUGAUGCUUAACUAUAUGGAAAUAAGGAAAAAUAUAAAUAAGUAGUCCAUUCAAAGAUAUUAUAUUGAUCUAUGAGAACAGAACAUAAUUUGGCUCCCAUUAAAAGAAAAACUUAUUGUAAUUUGCAUCUAUUUCCUAAUCAAUUAAGAUAGAAUUUUUAGUUGCACAUGUUAUCUAUGAAUACCAUUUCCUUCAUAAAAAUUAAAGAGACUUACUGAUAGGUCUAAAGUUCUCUUUAACUACUACUAUAAUGAAGGAACCAGAACUGUUUGGAAGAGAUGAUGAAAACACAUUAGAGUGUGUAAUUGAAUAUCUGUGGGCAUAAUAACACUUCAAAAUGAUCUGAAAUGUGAUAAAUGAUUUGUACAGAAUUAUAACUUUAAAAUGUAUAAUGUAGUUGACAACCAGUAAGAAUUCUAUAUGAAAUUUAGCUUAAGUAGAUUAUUUCUUUGCUCUCUGAAGUCCAAAAUAAACUUGGAUACCUUCAUUUUUGAAAACCAUUAUGGUGAAAAUAGAUACUCAAAUGCAAAGCAAAUAGACUCAUAGAAGAAUAUGUAUUUCAAAUAACUAACCUUUAACACUUUUUCUGGAACUUCAGGUAGGAGUUCCUGAAGUUGACAAAGAGUUGCUAACAAUAUCCAGUUCAGUGAAGGUCCUUUAUAUAACAUGAGCUGAGCCACCAAUGGAGUAAUACUUGGAAAAUCAAAUUACAGGGAAUACUAGGAAGCAAAACAUAUCAUUCAAAAAUUGUUUACAACUUGAAGAAACAAAACCCCAGUAGAUUCUAAUCUUUGAACACUAUUUUGGACUACAAAGAAAGCUGAGCGCCCAAGAAUUGAUGCUUUUGAACUGUGAUGUUGGAGAAGACUCUUGAGAGUCCCCUGGACUGCAAGGAGAUCCAACCAGUCUAU